rnacentral:rRNA from 1 species
UACGUAGGGAGCAAGCGUUGUCCGGAAUUAUUGGGCGUAAAGCGCGCGUAGGCGGCUUCGUAAGUCCGUUGUGAAAGUCAAAGGCUCAACCUUUGAAAGCCGAUGGAUACUGCGGAGCUAGAGUACGGAAGGGGCGAGUGGAAUUCCUGGUGUAGCGGUGGAAUGCGCAGAUAUCGGGAGGAAUACCUAUGGCGAAAGCAAGUUUCUGGGCCGUUACUGACGCUGAGCUGCGAAAGCUAGGGGAGCAAACAGG